rnacentral:lncRNA from 1 species
GUAUGUCCUUUUCAGUUUGUCUCCCAGUCUAACUGCCAGCAGUUCCUGAACACUGUUUGGUUUGGACAGAUGUCAGGUUACCGACGCAAGCCCACCUGUAAGAAGAUAAUGACUGUUUUGACAGUAGGCAUCUUUUGGCCAGUUUUGUCACUUUGUUAUUUGAUAGCUCCCAAAUCUCAGUUUGGCAGAAUCAUUCACACACCUUUUAUGAAAUUUAUCAUUCAUGGAGCAUCAUAUUUCACAUUCCUGCUGUUGCUUAAUCUAUACUCUCUUGUCUACAAUGAGGAUAAGAAAAACACAAUGGGGCCAGCCCUUGAAAGAAUAGACUAUCUUCUUAUUCUGUGGAUUAUUGGGAUGAUUUGGUCAGACAUUAAAAGACUCUGGUAUGAAGGGUUGGAAGACUUUUUAGAAGAAUCUCGUAAUCAACUCAGUUUUGUCAUGAAUUCUCUUUAUUUGGCAACCUUUGCCCUCAAAGUGGUUGCUCACAACAAGUUUCAUGAUUUUGCUGAUCGGAAGGAUUGGGAUGCAUUCCAUCCUACACUGGUGGCAGAAG